rnacentral:rRNA from 1 species
ACGGAGGGUGCGAGCGUUGUUCGGAAUUAUUGGGCGUAAAGCGCGUGUAGGCGGUCUUUUAAGUCUGAUGUGAAAGCCCUGGGCUCAACCCAGGAAGUGCAUUGGAAACUGGGAGACUUGAAUACGGGAGAGGGUAGUGGAAUUCCUAGUCGGGGGGUACGAUGCGCGAUUUUGAGGAGGAACCGCGGAGGCGAGGGGAGCAAACAGGGCCGGAUUGCCCGGUGAGACAGCUGAGUGUAGGGAAGGAAGUG